GCGGGCGUGGCGAAACUGGCAGACGCGCCAGGUUUAGGUCCUGGUGUCGAAAGACGUGGGGGUUCGAGUCCCUCCGCCCGCA
rnacentral:tRNA from 1 species